UUGAAACACUAGUUCUCAUACAUUUGCCAAAGUUAAGCAACACUGAGCCUGGUCAGUACCUCGAUGGGUGACUGCUUGGGAAUACCAGGUGCU